AAGUCGAGCGCUUCCCUUCGGGGAGGAGCGGCGGACGGGUUAGUAACGCGUGGGAAUAUACCCAGUUCUAAGGAAUAGCCAUUGGAAACGAUGAGUAAUACCUUAUACGCCCUUCGGGGGAAAGAUUUAUCGGAAUUGGAUUAGCCCGCGUUAGAUUAGAUAGUUGGUGGGGUAACGGCCUACCAAGUCGACGAUCUAUAGCUGGUUUGAGAGGAUGAUCAGCAACACUGGGACUGAGACACGGCCCAGACUCCUACGGGAGGCAGCAGUGGGGAAUCUUAGACAAUGGGCGCAAGCCUGAUCUAGCCAUGCCGCGUGAGUGAUGAAGGCCCUAGGAUCGUAAAACUCUUUCGCCAGGGAUGAUAAUGACAGUACCUGGUAAAGAAACCCCGGCUAACUCCGUGCCAGCAGCCGCGGUAAUACGGAGGGGGUUAGCGUUGUUCGGAAUUACUGGGCGUAAAGCGUACGUAGGCGGAUUAGUAAGUUAGAGGUGAAAUCCCAGGGCUCAACCUUGGAACUGCCUUUAAUACUGCUAGUCUUGAGUUCGAGAGAGGUGAGUGGAAUUCCAAGUGUAGAGGUGAAAUUCGUAGAUAUUUGGAGGAACACCAGUGGCGAAGGCGGCU
rnacentral:rRNA from 1 species